AACACUACAGCUACUGGAUAUAUACAGCAACUUUUAACAGACAUAAAAGGAGAAAUUGACAAUAACACAAUAAUAGUAGGGGAUCUUAACACCCCACUUAUACCAAGAGACAGAUCAUACAGAGAGAAAAUCAAUAAGGAAAUACAGGCCUUAAAUAACACAUUAGACCAGAUGGACCUAAUUGAUAUCUAUAGAGAAUACCACCCAAAACCAACAGAAUACACAUUCUUCUAAGGUGCACAUGUAACAUUCUCCAGAAUUGAUCACAUGCUGGCCAACAAAGCGAGCCUCAGCGAAUUUAAGAAAAUUGAAAUCAUACCAAGCACCUUUUCAGACCACAAUGCUAUUAGGUUAGUAAUCAACUACAAGAAAAAAAAACUGCAAAAACUGCAAACACAUGGAGGGUAAACAAUAUGCUACUACACACCAGUGGAUCAUGGAAGAAAUCGAUGAGGAAAUCAAAAAGUACUUUGAGACCAAAGAAAACGAAAACACAACAAUCCAAAACCUCUGGGAUGCAGCAAAAGCAGUUCUCAAAGGGAGUUUUAUAG